AUCCGGCUGACGAGUCCCAAAUAGGAUGAGACGCGAGUACUGGGU
rnacentral:hammerhead_ribozyme from 1 species